GGGGGAUAUUGCACAAUGGGGGAAACCCUGAUGCAGCAACGCCGCGUGAGGGAAGAAGGUUUUCGGAUUGUAAACCUCUGUUCUUAGUGACGAUAAUGACGGUAGCUAAGGAGAAAGCUCCGGCUAACUACGUGCCAGCAGCCGCGGUAAUACGUAGGGAGCGAGCGUUGUCCGGAUUUACUGGGUGUAAAGGGUGCGUAGGCGGCGAGGCAAGUCAGGCGUGAAAUCUAUGGGCUUAACCCAUAAACUGCGCUUGAAACUGUCUUGCUUGAGUGAAGUAGAGGUAGGCGGAAUUCCCGGUGUAGCGGUGAAAUGCGUAGAGAUCGGGAGGAACACCAGUGGCGAAGGCGGCCUACUGGGCUUUAACUGACGCUGAAGCACGAAAGCAUGGGUAGCAAACAGGAUUAGAUACCCUGGUAGUCCAUGCCGUAAACGAUGAUUACUAGGUGUGGGGGGUCUGACCCCCUCCGUGCCGCAGUUAACACAAUAAGUAAUCCACCUGGGGAGUACGGCCGCAAGGUUGAAACUCAAAGGAAUUGACGGGGGCCCGCACAAGCAGUGGAGUAUGUGGUUUAAUUCGACGCAACGCGAAGAACCUUACCAAGUCUUGACAUCCUGCGACGCACAUAGAAAUAUGUGUUUCCUUCGGGACGCAGAGACAGGUGGUGCAUGGUUGUCGUCAGCUCGUGUCGUGAGAUGUUGGGUUAAGUCCCGCAACGAGCGCAACCCUUACUGUCAGUUACUACGCAAGAGGACUCUGGCAGGACUGCCGUUGACAAAACGGAGGAAGGUGGGGAUGACGUCAAAUCAUCAUGCCCUUUAUGACUUGGGCUACACACGUACUACAAUGGCGUUAAACAAAGAGAAGCAAGACCGCGAGGUGGAGCAAAACUCAGAAACAACGUCCCAGUUCGGACUGCAGGCUGCAACUCGCCUGCACGAAGUCGGAAUUGCUAGUAAUCGUGGAUCAGCAUGCCACGGUGAAUACGUUCCCG
rnacentral:rRNA from 1 species